AUACGGAGGAUCCGAGCGUUAUCCGGAUUUAUUGGGUUUAAAGGGUGCGCAGGCGGCCAUUUAAGUCAGCGGUUAAAUCGUGGGGCUCAACCCCAUUCUGCCGUUGAUACUGGGUGGCUUGAUUGCGGUCGAGGUUGGCGGAAUUCGUUGUGUAGCGGUGAAAUGCAUAGAUAUGACGAAGAACACCGAUUGCGUAGGCAGCUGACCAGAUCGCAAAUGACGCUCAUGCACGAAAGUGCGGGGAUCGAACAGGAUUAGAUACCCUGGUAGUCCGCACAGUAAACGAUGAAUACUUGUUUUCGGCGAUAUAAUGUCGGAGGCAAAGCGAAAGCGAUAAGUAUUCCACCUGGGGAGUACGCCGGCAACGGCGAAACUCAAAUGAAUUGACGGGG
rnacentral:rRNA from 1 species